rnacentral:rRNA from 1 species
AAUAGAUACCCUGGUAGUCCACGCCGUAAACGAUGAGUGCUAAGUGUUAGAGGGCUUCCACCCUUUAGUGCUGCAGCUAACGCAUUAAGCACUCCGCCUGGGGAGUACGGCCGCAAGGCUGAAACUCAAAGGAAUUGACGGGGGCCCGCACAAGCGGUGGAGCAUGUGGUUUAAUUCGAAGCAACGCGAAGAACCUUACCAGGUCUUGACAUCCUUCGCUACCUCUAGAGAUAGAGGGUUCCCCUUCGGGGGACGGAGUGACAGGUGGUGCAUGGUUGUCGUCAGCUCGUGUCGUGAGAUGUUGGGUUAAGUCCCGCAACGAGCGCAACCCUUGACCUUAGUUGCCAGCAUUCAGUUGGGCACUCUAAGGUAACUGCCGGUGACAAACCGGAGGAAGGUGGGGAUGACGUCAAAUCAUCAUGCCCCUUAUGACCUGGGCUACACACGUGCUACAAUGGAUGGUACAAAGGGUCGCGAAACCGCGAGGUGGAGCCAAUCCCAAAAAAACCAUUCUCAGUUCGGAUUGCAGG